rnacentral:rRNA from 1 species
UACGGAGGGAGCUAGCGUUAUUCGGAAUUACUGGGCGUAAAGCGCACGUAGGCGGCUUUGUAAGUUAGAGGUGAAAGCCUGGAGCUCAACUCCAGAACUGCCUUUAAGACUGCAUCGCUUGAAUCCAGGAGAGGUGAGUGGAAUUCCCAGUGUAGAGGUGAAAUUCGUAGAUAUUGGGAAGAACACCGGUGGCGAAGGCGGCUCACUGGCUCGUAACUGACGCUCAGGCGCGACAGCGUGGGGAUCAAACAGG